CUCUCCCUCUCCGCCCACCCUCCCACUCGCUGCCUCUCCCCCUCUCCCCCCUUUCGCAACCCUCCCACUCACUUUCUGAAGGCUAGGGUUUCCGAUUAAGAACCGCGAUACCUCUCUGAACCCCGAUUGGAGCUCUCCGGUAGAGCUACUUCAGAGCUACACCAAACCUGAGGCUUCUAUCUGUGCAAGCCCAGGUAUCUGAGUAAACUUCUUCCGGAUUUCGCACCAAAUCAACCAGAAUCAUUGCAAGAUGUUCUCAGUGAUGUCCAGUCAAAGAUCUUACCAGGGGUAACCCAUUGGCAAAGCCCGGAUUAUUUUGUAUAUUUUCCCUCUAAUAGUAGUAUCACUGGAUUUUUAGGAGAAAUGCUCAGUGCUGGUAUUAACAUGGUGGGUUUUAGUUGGAUAACUUCUCCUGCAGCAACAGAACUUGAAAUGAUUGUCCUGGAUUGGCUUGCUAAACUUCUUAAGCUUCCUGAUGAUUUCCUUUCAACAG